GACGAACGCUGGCGGCGUGCUUAACACAUGCAAGUCGAACGGAAAGGCCCUGCUUUUGUGGGGUGCUCGAGUGGCGAACGUGUGAGUAACACGUGAGUAACCUGCCCUUGACUUUGGGAUAACUUCAGGAAACUGGUGCUAAUACCUGAUAGGAGCUCCUGCUGCAUGGUGGGGGUUGGAAAGUUUCGGCGGUUGGGGAUGGACUCGCGGCUUAUCAGCUUGUUGGUGGGGUAGUGGCUUACCAAGGCUUUGACGGGUAGCCGGCCUGAGAGGGUGACCGGCCACAUUGGGACUGAGAUACGGCCCAGACUCCUAAGGGAGGCAGCAGUGGGGAAUAUUGCACAAUGGGCGGAAGCCUGAUGCAGCAACGCCGCGUGCGGGAUGACGGCCUUCGGGUUGUAAACCGCUUUCGCCUGUGACGAAGCGUGAGUGACGGUAAUGGGUAAAGAAGCACCGGCUAACUACGUG
rnacentral:rRNA from 1 species